rnacentral:rRNA from 1 species
GGAUAACCUGCCCUAAGGAAGGGGAUAACCUCGGGAAACUGAGGAUAAUACCCUAUAGGUUACAGAUGCUGGAAUGCCCUGUAACCGAAAGCUCCGGCGCCUUAGGAUGGAUCUGCGGCCGAUUAGGUUGUUGUUGGGGUAACGGCCCAACAAGCCGAUAAUCGGUACGGGUUGUGGGAGCAAGAGCCCGGAGUUGGAUUCUGAGACACGAAUCCAGGCCCUACGGGGCGCAGCAGGCGCGAAAACUUUACAAUGCGGGAAACCGUGAUAAGGGAACCCCGAGUGCCUGUAUAUGCAGGCUGUCCAGGUGUCUAAAAAACACCUGAAGAAAGGGCCGGGCAAGACCGGUGCCAGCCGCCGCGGUAAUACCGGCGGCUCGAGUGGUGGCCACUUUUAUUGGGCUUAAAGCGUUCGUAGCUGGGUUGUUAAGUCUCUUGGGAAAUCUGACGGCUUAACCGUCAGGCGUCUAAGAGAUACUGGCAAUCUUGGAACCAGGAGAGGUGAGGGGUACUUCGGGGGUAGGAGUGAAAUCCUGUAAUCCUCGAGGGACCACCUGUGGCGAAGGCGCCUCACCAGAACGGCUUCGACAGUGAGGGACGAAAGCUGGGGGAGCAAACCGGAUUAGAUACCCGGGUAGUCCCAGCCGUAAACGAUGCGCGUUAGGUGUAUCGGUGACCACGAGUCACCGAGGUGCCGAAGGGAAACUGUGAAACGUGCCGCCUGGGAAGUACGGUCGCAAGGCUGAAACUUAA